rnacentral:rRNA from 1 species
GACGUAGGAGGCGAGCGUUGUCCGGAUUCAUUGGGCGUAAAGAGCACGCAGGCGGUUUGGCAAGUCGGAUGUGAAAACCCGGAGCUCAACUCCGGACCUGCAUCCGAAACUGCCCGACUAGAGGUAGGUAGGGGAGAUCGGAAUUCCUGGUGUAGCGGUGAAAUGCGCAGAUAUCAGGAGGAACACCGGUGGCGAAGGCGGGUUGCUGGGCUGAUACUGACGCUGAGGCGCGAAAGCGUGGGGAGCGAACAGG